GAAAUGCUACUGAUAUUUGCAUGUUGAUUUUGUAUCCUGCAUCUUUAAAGAAUUUAUCAUUUUUAAUAGUUUUUGUGCAGUCUUUAGGUUUUUCUAAAUAUAAGAUCAUAUCAUUUGCAAGCAAAGAUACUUUGACUUCCUCUUUUCCAAUUUAGAUGCCCUUUAUUUCUUUCUCUUUUCUGAUUGCUCUGGGUAGGACUUCCAGUACUAUGUUGAAUAAGAGUGGUGACACUAGGCAUCCUUGUCUUGUUCCAGAUCUUAGAGGAAAGGCUUUUAGUUCUUCUCCAUUUAGUAUGAUAGUAGUUGUAUAUGGCUUUUAUUGUGUUGAGGUAUGUUCCUUCUAUACUCAGUUUCUGAGAGUUUUUUUUUUUAAUCGUGAAGGGAUGUUGAAUUUUAUCAAAUUUCUUCAGCAUCAAUUAAAAUGAUCAUUUAUUUUGUCCUUCAUUCUGUUGAUAUGAUGUAUCAGAUUGAUUGACUUGCAUAUGUUGAACCAUCCUUGCCACCCUUGCAUAAAUCCUGCUCGGUCAUAAUGAAUGAUCUUUUUAAUGUGUUGCUGAAUUUAGUUUGCUAGUAUUUUACUAGGAUUUUUGCAUCAAUGUUCAUCAAAGAUAUUGGCCUGUAGUUUUCUCUUUUUUUUAUGUGACUCUAUCUGAUUUAGGUAUCAAGAUAAUACUGGCCUUAUAGAAAAAGUUGGCAAGUAUUCCCUCCCCUCUAAUUUUUGGAAAAGUUUGGGUAGGAUUAGUAUUAUAUCUUCUUUAAAUGUUUGAUAAAAUUCAGUAGUGAAGCCAUCGUGUCCUGGGUGAUAGUGUCCUUUCAUGUACACAACUUUUAAAUUUAUGAAAUCUAGUUUAUUUAUUUAUUUACUUCUGUAGGAAGUCUCUGUGCUAAUUUACUGAUACAAAAAUUAAAAGCCAACUUCCAGUAAGAAAUCAUUCACUACUGUGUUUCCAUACCAUCCAAACAAAUUAGCUACUGGAACAAAGAUCCACCAUUCCUAACCUUGGGGAAUGAACUCUCUCCCACAGAUUUCUCAAAAAGAUCAUCAAAUCCUCAUAAAAAAACAUUCCCGUAUAAGUCCCAUGAUCCUUAAAUCCAGCUAUUUCUUAUCCAUCUUUCAGCACUUGGCUUAUAUGCCACUUCCUUAUAGAAGCCUUUACUCUGCUCACCAAGACAGACUGUCACUAUUAGAGCCACUGUUGUGAUUGUCAGGCAAUUAACACCACCAAAGUCAAGUAAUUAUUUAUGUAACUGUUAAUAAUCUAUCUGCAAAACAUAAGAUCUGUGAGGGACAAGUGUGUCUACCAUUUUCUCUUUUUCUAUCUACACCCUAGCAGAGUGCUGAGUACAUAGUGGGAACUCAAUACAUGUUUUUAUUUAUUUGUUUGUUUUUGUUUUUGUUUUUUUCUUUUUUGAGAUGAAGUCUUGUUCUGUCACCCAGGCUGGAGUGCAGUGGUGCGAUCUUGGCUCACUGCAACCUCUGUCUCCUGGGUUAAAGCGAUUCUCCUGCCUUAGCCUCCCAUGUAGCUGGGAUUACAGACACAUGCCACCAUGCCUAGCUAAUUUUUGUAUUUUUUUUUCUUUUUUUUUUUAGUAGAGACAGGUUAUUAGAGACAGGUUUUCGCCAUGUUGGCCAGGCUGGUCUCAAACCCCUAAUCUCAGGUGAUCUGCCCACUUUGGCUUCCAAAGUCCUGGGAUUACAGGGGUGAGCCACCGCACCCAGCCGGGAACUCAGUACAUGUUAAACAAUCAAAUGAAUCUUCAACAACAUUAAUAAAAUUAUUGAUUUUCAUAGGGCUGUUUCUUGUAUUAUUUCUCAGAUUCUAACAAUUAUUUUAGGCCUAAAUGCAGCUCAGGAAAUGCAAUUGUAUGGAAGGUGAAAAGCCACAUUCCCAACACAAAAUUUUCUGAUGGUCUGAAUUUAAGUAGUACUUCAAAGAUAUAUAGAUCUUUCUUAGGUAUUCCUUCAAAAAUCUUUAAUAUAUUUAAUCUCAACUGAAUAAGUAUAGUGGCAGAUGGUUCAACGUCACAGUUGCUGAGAAAAACGGACAUGAUUUUCCUUCAAGGUACUUUUUGGAUAUUCUCCACAAUAUAGGUAAAUGUGCAAUGAUUGUCCACAUUCUAUCCUAGGACUGCAAAAAUUAGAUUUUCAAAAAUUUUCUCUUUAGCAAUCAAGGCCAAAAAUAUUGUGUGUGUGUGUGUGUGUGUGUGUGUGUGUUUUACAUUGGGGAGGGGCUACGGGCAGUGGGUAGUGAGGAUACAUGCAGCCUAAAGAGCACUCCAGAGCUCUGCCUCAAACUCAGAAGGUCUGCUGUCUUUUAGUCUCUGUAUAAGAUGUAUUUAAAGUGAUCUUAUUUUUUGAUUUUCUAAAUAGAAGUUUUAAACCUCCAGUCUGAAAAACACUGGUUGCAGGAAUUUGGGCCUGGAAAACUCUU
rnacentral:lncRNA from 1 species